rnacentral:rRNA from 1 species
AGUGAACGCUGGCGGUAGGCCUAACACAUGCAAGUCGAACGGCAGCACAGGAGAGCUUGCUCUCUGGGUGGCGAGUGGCGGACGGGUGAGGAAUACAUCGGAAUCUACUUUUUCGUGGGGGAUAACGUAGGGAAACUUACGCUAAUACCGCAUACGACCUACGGGUGAAAGCAGGGGACCUUCGGGCCUUGCGCGAUUGAAUAAGCCGAUGUCGGAUUAGCUAGUUGGCGGGGUAAAGGCCCACCAAGGCGACGAUCCGUAGCUGGUCUGAGAGGAUGAUCAGCCACACUGGAACUGAGACACGGUCCAGACUCCUACGGGAGGCAGCAGUGGGGAAUAUUGGACAAUGGGCGCAAGCCUGAUCCAGCCAUACCGCGUGGGUGAAGAAGGCCUUCGGGUUGUAAAGCCCCUUUGUUGGGAAAGAAAUCCAGCUGGCUAAUACCCGGUUGGGAUGACGGUACCCAAAGAAUAAGCACCGGCUAACUUCGUGCCAGCCGCCGCGGUAA